rnacentral:lncRNA from 1 species
GCUCAGGUCCCCUUCCACACUGUGCAAGCUUUGUUCUUUUGCUCUUCACAUUAAAUCUUGCUGCUGCUCACUCUUUGGGUCCAUGCCAUCUUUAAGAGCUGUAACACUCACCGCGAAGGUCCGCGGCUCCAUUCUUGAAGUCAGCAAGACCACGAACCCACCAGAAGGAACCAGCUACGGACACAAAACUUCAUAUAAGUAAGAUUUCAGAGCCAAGGAAAUUUUUUUGAGCUAUUGACAUCUUUUAACAAGUUACUAUACUCCUAUGAACAAAAUUUGGAACAUAUUUGUUUCUCUCUACCUGAUUUCUCCAGAAUUUGGAAACUACUUGAAUCAAACUGGACUUAUAGAGCAAAUAAAAAUCCCUUGGGAAAACUGGCCUCAUACCUUGUCUACACAGUUCCUGUACAGGGUUCCUGACCAGUGGAAUCUGAAGCCACCUUAAGGCAAAGGAAUGACUUCCAUGGAAUACAGAUGAAGUUGGUAAAAGGAAAUACAAAGGAGAAAAAGUACAUUUGUUCUGUUCUAUGACUAUUACUCUGAUACACUGGUAAUGCUAUGAUGAUGGAAGGAACAAAUAAAUGUCUCAGGAUCUUGAUCUUCUGAUAAUAGAGAGGGAAGUUAACAGUUCCUGUAUUUACAGGAACUGUAAUAGAGAGGGAAGUUCCUGUAUUUACAGGAAGAAUUUUAGCAGGGUAAACUUCAAAACCAGUAAAGGCUUGCGUGUUGCUACCAUAAAAAAGAACAAGAAAGCCAACCACAA